GGCAGCCUCAUGAGGCGAGGGCUACGGGUGACCCUACUUCCACUGUGGCCCACCACAUUGUCGGCUCAACGGCACGGAACCCUAGCAUUGUUCUCAUUUCUGAUGCAACUCAUCUUUUCUCUCUUGUUCCUUCAUCGUUGUUUCCCUAUUCCCUCUCACAGUGUGCCGCUCUCCUCUCGCUGUCCGCCGCCGCCGAUCAUAUGGAGCACAACGAGUGCAUCCAUGAAAUCCUUGCCUACCUUCCGCCGCCGCCAGCCUCCACCAACACCACUUCCCCAUCUGAUAGAACCGGCAUCAGCCAGCUCCCACCCGAGCUCCUCGCGACCUUGUGUCCCGCCUGCCUGCCGCCAAUGGGAUUUGUGCCCCUCGUCCUCGAUGACGCACUGUUUUGUCCCCUAGUGGGCCACGUUGCCAAGGGCUUCCAAAAACACUCUGCGGUGGUGAAAACAGUGUCGCGCGCCACCGACUCCCACCCAGGCCCCUUCCACUCCGUCCAACUCACUGUCACCAGCUUCAACCGCCACGACAGCCUCAGGUAUAGGAUCCGUGCCUUGGAACGCAAUGACAAUGAUCUCGUCAUUGUGCACCUCAGUGGCAUGUGCUGUGCCGCCACCCUCCCGCCCAAGAUCCUCACCUGCACCUCCAUGGUGUGCCACACUGUCGCGCUCUUUGGCCAACCACCCAAAGCCGUCUUCCUGUCGAGCCUGCGGGAGCUCAUCUUGUGCGAGGGCUACACUCAAGCUAAUGACUUUGACCGGUUGCUCGUCAGCUGCCCUAAGAUUGAGCUGCUCUCGUUGAUCAACCCCAAUGACAUGCCCUUUUCCAUGGACAUCCUGAGCCCCACCAUGAAAAGCUUGGUUCUCUCUAUGGAGCUCAACUUCCUGGAAGCUCCAUCCCUUGAGCGUGCCAUCAUCUGGAGACCAAUCAUAGUCAUAAGUCCUUACAUAUCUGUGAACAAGAUCGCCAACAUGCACCCGUCCUUUGAGCAGGUACCUUGGCACCAGUAUCCAUGUGCUCCAGAUCAGAAGAACUAUCAUAAAGGGAACUAA
rnacentral:lncRNA from 1 species